GAUGAACGCUGGCGGCGUGCCUAAUACAUGCAAGUCGAGCGAACUGAUUAGAAGCUUGCUUCUAUGACGUUAGCGGCGGACGGGUGAGUAACACGUGGGCAACCUGCCUGUAAGACUGGGAUAACUUCGGGAAACCGAAGCUAAUACCGGAUAGGAUUUUCUCCUUCAUGGGAGAUGAUUGAAAGAUGGUUUCGGCUAUCACUUACAGAUGGGCCCGCGGUGCAUUAGCUAGUUGGUGAGGUAACGGCUCACCAAGGCAACGAUGCAUCGCCGACCUGAGAGGGUGAUCGGCCACACUGGGACUGAGAAACGGCCCAGACUCCUACGGGAGGCAGCAGUAGGGAAUCUUCCGCAAUGGACGAAAGUCUGACGGAGCAACGCCGCGUGAGUGAUGAAGGCUUUCGGGUCGUAAAACUCUGUUGUUAGGGAAGAACAAGUACAAGAGUAACUGCUUGUACCUUGACGGUACCUAACCAGAAAGCCACGGCUAACUACGUGCCAGCCGCCGCGGUAA
rnacentral:rRNA from 1 species